rnacentral:rRNA from 1 species
CGGGGGGAGCAAGCGUUGUUCGGAUUUACUGGGCGUAAAGGGCGCGUAGGCGGCCACCGCAAGUCGACUGUGAAAUCUCUGGGCUUAACCCAGAACGGUCAGCCGAUACUGCGGGGCUAGAGUGCAGAAGGGGGCAACUGGAAUUCUCGGUGUAGCGGUGAAAUGCGUAGAUAUCGAGAGGAACACCUGCGGCGAAGGCGGGUUGCUGGGCUGACACUGACGCUGAGGCGCGAAAGCUAGGGGAGCGAACGGGAUUAGAUACCCCGGUAGUCCUAGCCUUAAACGAUGAAUGCUUGGUGUCUGGGGUUUUAUAGUCCCCGGGUGCCGUCGCUAACGCUUUAAGCAUUCCGCCUGGGGAGUACGGUCGCAAGGCUG